rnacentral:rRNA from 1 species
AGCUGGCUGGUGCCAUGAGGUGACUUCUGCCCAGUGCUCUGAUUGUCAAUGCGAAGAGAUUCAGCCAAGCGCGGGUAAACGGCGGGAGUAACUAUGACUCUCUUAAGGUAGCCAAAUGCCUCGUCAACCAAUUAUUGACGCGCAUGAAUGGAUCAACGAGAUUCCUGCUGUCCCUAGUCGCUGUCUGGUGAACCAACAGCCAAGGGAACGGGCUUGGAUGUGUCAGCGGGGAAAGAAGACCCUGUUGAGUUUGACUCUAGUUUGAUGCUGUGCAACGACAUGUGGGGUGUAGCACAGGUGGGAGGCGAGUGCCAAACCACCAGUACCCAAGUCACAGAGAAGUGUGUGCCAUGGUGCAAACCAGCAGUGAAAUACCACUACCUUCACCGUCGUUUUACUCAUUGAGUUGUCUGGGACCGGUGGCCAUUUGGACAUUGGCUCUCCCAUCCUGGGAGUGUCAUGGCUCUUCCCCGCUUCGUGCAAAACGCCCAGGCUUCGGCCUGUGGCAACCCUGGAUAUGUGCAAUCCAAUCAGAAGCCUCGAGACAUUGAUCAGUUGGGGAGUUUGGCUGGGGCGGCACGCCUGUUACAGGACAACGCAGGCGUCCUGAAGCAUUGCUCAGAUGGAACAGAAAUCUCUCAUGGAGGAGAAGGCCAAAGGUGCUGCUGAUGCUGCGACUUUCAGUACAAGUCCAAAACGUGCAAGUGUGGCCUAGCGAUCCUUUGGUCAAGUGUGCGAGUUCGGGAUAUCGAAGCCAGAGGUGUCAGAAAAAUUACCACAGGGAUAACUGGCUUGUGGCUGCCAAGCGUUCAAAGCGACGUUGCUUUUUGAUCCUUCGAUGUCGGCUCUUCCUAGCUUCCCACCCGCAGCCGAGUGGAAGAGUUGGAUUGUUCACCCACCAACAGGGAACGUGAGCUGG